CGAAGCAACGCGAAGAACCUUACCAGGCCUUGACAUCCAAUGAACUUUCCAGAGAUGGAUUGGUGCCUUCGGGAACAUUGAGACAGGUGCUGCAUGGCUGUCGUCAGCUCGUGUCGUGAGAUGUUGGGUUAAGUCCCGUAACGAGCGCAACCCUUGUCCUUAGUUACCAGCACGUUAUGGUGNGCACUCUAAGGAGACUGCCGGUGACAAACCGGAGGAAGGUGGGGAUGACGUCAAGUCAUCAUGGNCCUUACGGCCUGGGCUACACACGUGCUACAAUGGUCGGUACAGAGGGUUGCCAAGCCGCGAGGUGGAGCUAAUCCCAUAAAACCGAUCGUAGUCCGGAUCGCAGUCUGCAAGCCGACUGCGUGAAGUCGGAAUCGCUAGUAAUCGCGAAUCAGAAUGUCGCGGUGAAUACGUUCCCGGGCCUUGUACACACCGCCCGUCACACCAUGGGAGUGGGUUGCACCAGAAGUAGUCAUUAACCUUCGGGAGGACGGUUACCACGGUGUGAUUCAUGACUGGGGUGAAGUCGUAA
rnacentral:rRNA from 1 species